CUAAUUUACCAAUAGUUCAGUGUUGCCAACUUAAUUUUCCAGAUUUUACCCAAAAUGGAUGUAAAAAUCAACUUUUUUCAUAAAACUAACAACGAGAAGCCCCCAUUUACCUAUUACUAAACCCACAAGUCACCAAAAGGUUCCCUUGGACAUCAAAAUCGCUCAAACUGCCGCUGUGCGUCUCUAGUGUGUGUUCAGUAUUGAGCGUGUUGGGGUCUCUCAAAUCAAUCCUGCCUAAGGGAUUCCCGGCGCAAACAAACCUACUAUGGGGGCGCAACAUCACACAUCCUGGUUCCCCCACAUCAACCUUGAAAAUAAGAACUGAAAUUUUUCCUGAAAAUGUUGGUUUUGCCACUGAGAAAGAGCUUACGUGUGGGUGAAAACGGGGAUCCCGCGCCUGAUUUGGUAUCUUAGACUACUGGAGGUUAGCCCUAGAAUCCCCUCAUUGAUUCACCGGUGUAGUAAGACGUGACGUGGCCCUUAAAACAGCCCCUUGUUAGUGCUAGUAGCAGAAAUAACGCCACUUACGCCUUGGUUGCCCAUCCACAAGAGCUCCUCAUAGCGAUCAAAAGCCAGGGCGCUUACCCCAAAUCGGUCGCCCCCAUCUGCUAAAAUACACUGUGUUUGGACGUACUCCGACUCGAUUCCCAUCAAGUCGGGCACGUCGGGGGGCGACGCCGCCACGGCAAGCUACAAAUUCUCUCGUUACAAACUUAACCUCUACUUUUGCCAAAGAAACCUACCCCGCUUUGGUCGAAAAACAUGCUUAAAAAAUGUGUAGAAAUAAAAAGAGGAAUUAAAAACGACUUUUACGAGUAUUUGUGCUACAUAUUAUCCUAAAAAUUACUUUGUACAUUUCAAACUGGACUUGGAAUUGACAAGUACGGGAAUGCAGAAAUAUGGCCGUCGCGAACUCCGGCAUUAGCGAAGUACUUUCGCCUGAAAAAGUUUUUGAAGCAACCAACA